rnacentral:rRNA from 1 species
UGGGGAAUAUUGCACAAUGGGCGCAAGCCUGAUGCAGCCAUGCCGCGUGUGUGAAGAAGGCCUUCGGGUUGUAAAGCACUUUCAGCGAGGAGGAAGGGUUCAGUGUUAAUAGUACUGUUCAUUGACGUUACUCGCAGAAGAAGCACCGGCUAACUCCGUGCCAGCAGCCGCGGUAAUACGGAGGGUGCAAGCGUUAAUCGGAAUUACUGGGCGUAAAGCGCACGCAGGCGGUUUGUUAAGUCAGAUGUGAAAUCCCCGCGCUUAACGUGGGAACUGC